AUUGAACGCUGGCGGCAGGCCUAACACAUGCAAGUCGAGCGAGCGGCGGACGGGUGUGUAAUGUCUGGGAAACUGCCUGAUGGAGGGGGAUAACUACUGGAAACGGUAGCUAAUACCGCAUACCCUCAGAUGUGCCCAGAUGGGAUUAGCUAGUAGGUGGGGUAACGGCUCACCUAUGCGACGCUCCCUAGCUGGUCUGAGAGGAUGACCAGCCACACUGGAACUGAGACACGGUACAGACUCCUACGGGAGGCAGCAGUGGGGAAUAUUGCACAAUGGGCGCAAGCCUGAUGCAGCCAUGCAGCGUGUGUGAAGAAGGCAUUCGGGUUGUAAAGCACUUUCAGCGGGGAGGCGUUACCCGCAGAAGAAGAACCGGCUAACUCCGUGCCAGCAGCCGCGGUAAUUC
rnacentral:rRNA from 1 species